rnacentral:rRNA from 1 species
UACGUAGGCAGCAAGCGUUGUUCGGAGUUACUGGGCGUAAAGGGUGUGUAGGCGGUUCUUUAAGUUUGCUGUGAAAUCUCCCGGCUUAACCGGGAGGGUGCGGUGAAUACUGAGGGACUAGAGUACGGGAGAGGAAAGUGGAAUUCCUGGUGUAGCGGUGAAAAUGCGUAGAUAUCAGGAGGAACACCGGUGGUGUAGACGGCUUUCUGGACCGUAACUGACGCUGAGACACGAAAGCGUGGGUAGCAAACAGG